GACGAACGCUGGCGGCGUGCUUAACACAUGCAAGUCGAACGGAAAGGCCCUGCUUUUGUGGGGUGCUCGAGUGGCGAACGGGUGAGUAACACGUGAGUAACCUGCCCUUGACUUUGGGAUAGCUUCAGGAAACUGGGGCUAAUACCGGAUAGGAGCUCCUGCUGCAUGGUGGGGGUUGGAAAGUUUCGGCGGUUGGGGAUGGACUCGCGGCUUAUCAGCUUGUUGGUGGGGUAGUGGCUUACCAAGGCUUUGACGGGUAGCCGGCCUGAGAGGGUGACCGGCCACAUUGGGACUGAGAUACGGCCCAGACUCCUACGGGAGGCAGCAGUGGGGAAUAUUGCACAAUGGGCGGAAGCCUGAUGCAGCAACGCCGCGUGCGGGAUGACGGCCUUCAGGUUGUAAACCGCUUUCGCCUGUGACGAAGCGUGAGUGACGGUAAUGGGUAAAGAAGCACCGGCUAACUACGUG
rnacentral:rRNA from 1 species